UCAGUAUGGAUGGCACCUUCCCUGGCUGCUGGUCCUAGGUGCUAUAAGAAAGCAGGCUGAAGCUCUUCCUGGUGAUGUACAACCUGUUUCCUCAACAUUGGAAAUAAACUUGGAGAUAGAACUUCAAGUGUGUACCUGUGUAUUCCCACCACUUCUCUGAGUCCUGUGGACGAUGACUGACGAGAAAAAUCAUACAGGAAACAUAA
rnacentral:snoRNA from 14 species